UACAUUCUUUCUCCCACUCUCACAACUUUUCUCCCACCAUUAUCACACUCCAUAGAAGCCUUUGAAGCCCCAAGAGAAGUAGCAAAGCAAGGGAGAGUGUGGGAAAACUAUAGAGUGAAGGUUGUGCUUCGAGGGUCCGGGCGACAGAAAGUGAAGCCGAAGAAGAAACGACUCCACGCCAGCUUUAAGAACAAUUGAGGUUGAGCAGGCGAUGGAAUGGAUCGGUGUUGAGCGGAUUUCCCUUUUGUUGUUUAUGUAAUGAAACCUUGAGUAUGCAUCUCCAUAUGCAUAACUCACACAUUUUUUUCGCUGCAAACACUCUGACUUAUUUAUCAUUUCUACUUGAACUUAUUACUACUUCAUUUUAAUUAACUUUCAGUUGGGGUCUAGUCGUUAUGGCAGACUCAUUUGUGAAUUACCCAAGUGGUUAUAUAUAUAUACCACUAGUUUGUUAUUAA